rnacentral:rRNA from 1 species
CACGCCCACUAAGUAGUGGGCGUGGCGGACGGCUGAGUAACACGUGGCUAACCUACCCUCAGGACAGGGAUAGUCCCGGGAAACUGGGACUAAUCCCUGAUAGGUGGAGAUACCUGGAAUGGUCUCCACCGAAAGGGUCAGACCGCAAUGCAGGUCUGACCGCCUGAGGAUGGGGCUGCGGCCCAUCAUGGUAGUUGGCGGGGUAAUGGCCCGCCAAGCCGAUAACGGGUAGGGGCCGUGAGGGCGGGAGCCCCCAGAUGGGCACUGAGACAAGGGCCCAGGCCCUACGGGGUGCACCAGGCGCGAAACCUCCGCAAUGCGGGAAACCGUGACGGGGCCACCCCAAGUGCCCCGAAGAGGGGCUUUUCCCCGC